CUCUGAUGCUGUGCAGAUGUCUAUGGAUGGAUGUUUUAAUGUCUAAUUUCUCCUUCAUUAAACCUCACAGGCUCUAAUAUGGAGUGUUUUUUUUUUAAUCCAAAAAUGCUCAAAUAUUCAGUAAGCAAACAUGCAUCAUUACAGCCCUGUAUUGGAGUGUGUGAUUGUAUAUUGCUUGUGUAGAGUGUCAAGCGUGCGUGCUGCACAUUGUGCCUGGAGAGAUUGAUGUUUUGUCAUCCACCUGCUUCUAAGCUGUAAAGGCAAGCGCAGCAAAGGCAAACCUACCCAGCUUCAAAAUCCAAACAAAGAAAUCUUAGUGGGCUGUUUACAUAUCUGUGCAAGGAUAUCUGUGCUUGUGUUGACGGGGUGCUAGAGUGGCUGAGAGAUCAGUCCCCGCACAAUGGACGAGUGGGAAAUCAAAGACUGGAAUGCUGGGAGAACACUGGAGAAAUUGACGAAGGGGUGAGCUCUGGAAAGGAGGACAGAUACUUCCUGUUCCUUCUGGAGUGACCCGCAGGUCUGAGGAGGAGUGAGGGAGAGGAAGGUGGAGAAAGUUAUUUAAAAAAUUCUUUCCAAGUACCCAGUGAAACCUGCUAAAGUACCCUCUGGUGUAAACAUACCCCUGGUUGGGAAUCAACGAUAUGAUGGACAAACAAGCACAAACUUGGCGAUAUCUGCAUCAAAUCUCCCAGCCUCAGUGCUCAGUCUCUUCGCCGUCAUGCCAGCAUUCCGUAGUCGUAUUCCUGGAUGCACAAACAGUGUGUAAUUAUCCCAGCCUCCCUGCUGUUCUUUCUCUUUCUUUCUCUCUCUCUCCCUCACCCAGUCUCUACAUAUCCCACACUGGAGAGACCGAGACCUAAGAUGAUUCUUUCUCUCUCGCUGUCGCUGUCACACAAGAGGAAAAGAGCUCCUCUCUUCAUUACAGAAGGACCUGAUCCAACUUGAAAGAUGCAGCCAUUAUUCUUGACUGUCUGGACUCCCCCCUCUCUUCCCUGUCACAGGCUUAUUGUUUGGCCUCCUGGGGUUGCAUUUUAAACCUGCACUGUCGCUCUGGCCCACAGAACGAGGGCUUCAUCGACUACUCAUAAUGUCUGCAUGCUGUUAGAGGAAAUUCUGGUAUAAGAAAAAAUGCAAAUAGUUUUAUGCAAAAAUAAUGGCAUUUGCUUCAUAAUGCAGAAGGAGUGAUGCAUGUAUGUGUUUAUUGUGCAAAGGUGUGAUACAAAGGACCGUUAUGCCAAAUGCACAUAAUAAUAACAACAAAAUGAUAACAUUUACACAGUCCUAAUGCUUUGUCUAAAGCCAGUUCAUGAAUUGAUAUGAAUAAAUAAAUAAAUAAAAAUGAUUUAUAUUUAUAGGAUAUUUCUAAUUACCUUGAAGAUUACCUUACCUUAAAGUUACACAUACACACACACACACACACACACACACACAAAUUCACACACACACACACAUAUAUAUAUAUAUAAUGGUUUUAUACUGUAAAAACUGUAUUUUCUAUACCCCUCACAGAAAACUUUCUGCAUCUCAAAAAAACUCACUCUGUAUGAUUUAUAAGCUUCUGUAUUUAUAUUCAGGUUUAAGUCCCCACCAGUGUAGAAAAAUAUGUACACACAUGCGCACAUUUAUUUGUUUGUUUAUUUAUUUUACUUUAAACAGUGAUAAUACUUUUUGAUUUGAUUGUUAACAG
rnacentral:lncRNA from 12 species